CGACGCCGCCGCAGCCUGCCUGGAAGGAGGGGUCACCGUUCGGGACAAAAUACCGCAGCGCUCACGCUUCGCCCGCCACUGCCGCCAAGAAGGAGGAGGAGGAAGGAAAGGCCAGGGAGGAGCUUCCCAACGCUGCCGGGCUGGCGCAGAGGGAGGGAUCUGUAUUGAAUUUGUGAUGUCUACUAGACCAGUCCUUCUCAAAUUAUCUCAGGUCCUCCCUUACUUUCUACUGCUCCAAAUGGAUUUUUUGGAAGAAGGAAAGGAGCACUCUGGUACCUUGUAUAUCACAUCUCAGAUCUUGAACUGCAUUAGUCCAAACAAAUCAUAAUCUGAUCAUUCUUUGCCGCCGUUGUUUCAAUGUGACGUCCCAGCCAUUUCCCCAGAGUUUUGUCACCAUCUUCAUCACCCCAUCAAUUGUGACUUCCUCCCAGCCACCUGUCACUCUGUGUUUUGAACUUGACUUUGAAUGCUAAAUUUGAAAUAAGAGGUAUUCCCAAAAUACUUUUGAAGGAUCACAAUUUUAGGUGCUAUUCUUCAAAAAUUAAACUCUGCUGAUUUCAAGUACAGGGCAAGUAACACUAAUUACUAAAAAAUAGAUCAAUUCUAAUAAAUUUUAAGUUGAUAUUUUGUACAGCUAAAUUAAUAGUUACACAAAUUCUUGCAAGGCCUAUAAAUAAGCGUAGGAAUCAAAGUUUGCCCUAAAGCAAUUCAAAAUUUUUUUCCAAGAUAUCAAGUGAGAAUGAUACACUGGAAAAUUUAUCACAUGAGUUAACAAUUUGCAUCAAAUUAGACAGCAUUUAGGAAGCAGAACAAUGGCUUUAAGACAAA
rnacentral:lncRNA from 1 species